rnacentral:rRNA from 1 species
AUUGAACGCUGGCGGCAGGCUUAACACAUGCAAGUCGAGCGGGGGAAGGUAGCUUGCUACCGGACCUAGCGGCGGACGGGUGAGUAAUGCUUAGGAAUCUGCCUAUUAGUGGGGGACAACAUCUCGAAAGGGAUGCUAAUACCGCAUACGUCCCACGGGAGAAAGCAGGGGAUCUUCGGACCUUGCGCUAAUAGAUGAGCCUAAGUCGGAUUAGCUAGUUGGUGGGGUAAAGGCCUACCAAGGCGACGAUCUGUAGCGGGUCUGAGAGGAUGAACCGCCACACUGGGACUGAGACACGGCCCAGACUCCUACGGGAGGCAGCAGUGGGGAAUAUUGGACGAUGGGGGGAACCCUGAUCCAGCCAUGCCGCGUGUGUGAAGAAGGCCUUAUGGUUGUAAAGCACUUUAAGCGAGGAGGAGGCUACUCUAGUUAAUACCUAGGGAUAGUGGACGUUACUCGCAGAAUAAGCACCGGCUAACUCUGUGCCAGCAGCCGCCGUAA